rnacentral:rRNA from 1 species
CCUACGGGAGGCAGCAGUGAGGAAUAUUGGUCAAUGGGCGAACGCCUGAACCAGCCAAGUCGCGUGAGGGAAGACGGCCCUAUGGGUUGUAAACCUCUUUUGUCAGGGAGCAAUUCGGUCUACGCGUAGGCUUAGUGAGAGUACCUGAAGAAAAAGCAUCGGCUAACUCCGUGCCAGCAGCCGCGGUAAUACGGAGGAUGCGAGCGUUAUCCGGAUUUAUUGGGUUUAAAGGGUGCGUAGGCGGAAUGCCAAGUCAGCGGUAACAAUGCGGGGCUCAACCUCGUCGUGCCGUUGAAACUGAUGUUCUUGAGUGGGCGAGAAGUAUGCGGAAUGCGUGGUGUAGCGGUGAAAUGCAUAGAUAUCCCGCAGAACUCCGAUUGCGAAGGCAGCAUACCGGCGCCCAACUGACGCUGAAGCACGAAAGCGUGGGUAUCGAACAGGAUUAGAUACCCGUGUAGUC